UAAUAAAGAAAAUGGGAAAAAAAAAGAAAUUAUACCUGUUAAAUUUGUAAUAGCCCAAUUUGCCCGGCCCAUAAUAAAAAACCAAAUAAUUUUUUUUUAAAACCAAAUAGUUCACAGCCCAUUUACAAUGUAAAAGUCCAGUUACGAAAAAUAAGCCCAAAUAUUACAGAGCCCAAUAAACCAAACCCAAGUGGCCCAAAUACCCUAGCAACAGUCGGCUCCCAGCACCACAGCAGCCAAACCCUCCUCUGCGCAUGCCAAUCCUCUGCCCUCACGUGCACCUUCGUACUCUCUACGUCCACCGCCUCCGUACACAGUACCUGCAAAUAGAACAAAAAUAACGCAACAGAAAAGAAAAAAUUGUAUUUUUUCUCUGUUUUUAUUUCAUUUUGAAUACGGGGUUAUAAAAGGGGGAGAAAAUAUUUGUAAGUUUUUCACAGAGACAAAAUCAUUAGAAAAAGAAAUCAAAAUUUGAGAUAAGGUGAUUUUUUCUUUUCUUUUUGCGUUUUUUUAUUUUUAUUAAUCGUAUGUAAAAAUAAAAAAUAAAAAAGGAGAAGAGGGAGGCUUACCUAGCCUUCAGAUCUGCUCAAAGGGGGUUAAAAAACCAACUCGGCGUGCCUCCGACCACCGAUCACGGCGAAACUGUGGUGGAAGUGUGGUGAAAAAGCGGCGGCUGAAGCUGGGGUAAAACCCGAGUAGAGAAAAAGCAACAACCCUUUUUUUAAAAAAAUAAAAAGCCUAGGCUGUAUUGGUUUUCUUUUUUUAGAAAAUUUUAGUUUAAAUACACAUAAUAUGACGCCGUUUCGAGUCAGGGUUCAUAGGCGUCAAAACGACGCCGUUUAAGGCCAUAACUCGCGCGACCCGACCCGCUCCUGAGGGAUCUGUUUUUGAGCUUUGUGAUAUUUAUCCCCUGGUACAUCCGCAUUUGCAGGGUGUUCCAAU
rnacentral:lncRNA from 1 species